rnacentral:rRNA from 1 species
GUUCGGUUAAGUCCGCUAACGAGCGCAACCCUUCGCUGUGUGUUAUAAGUGUCACACGGUACUGCCGGUUUUAAGCCGGAGGAAGGUGGGGAUGACGUCAAGUCAGCAUGGCCUUUAUAUCCUGGGCUACACACACGCUACAAUGGUCGGUACAAUAGGGUUGCCAAGCCGCGAGGCGGAGCCAAUCCACAAAGCCGGCCUCAGUUCAGAUUGUAGGCUGCAACUCGCCUGCAUGAAGAUGGAGUUGCUAGUAACCGCAGGUCAGCAAUACUGCGGUGAAUACGUUCCCGGGUCUU